rnacentral:lncRNA from 1 species
CCCUUCAUUUGGCCAAAAAAAAUAAAAAGAAACAAGGUUGGUUUUGGCUGCAGCACUAGCUAGCUAAAAGACAAAGCAUACUGAGUUGCUGGGAGAAGGCUAGCAGUUAUUUUUGUGUGGACUGCACUUAUGCCAGCACUAGUUCAUUACUUCUUCCAUCUUUUAAGACAACAAUGACUAAAUGAGCAUAAUAAAUCUUGGUCCUUUUUGUUGAACUUGCCUGAACCAUAAAGGCACCACUCACAGUCUUAACAGUGAAUAGGAAUGAAAACCCAACUGCUCUCUCAGUUCAGAGUCAGUCCCUCCAGUUUAAGGUUAUUGAUAAUGCACACUGGCUACGCAGCAACUGGACCUGCAGUUUUAUUGCUGCCAAUAGCAGCUUGACUGAGAGACACUAAGCUGCCUUUUGAAAUCUGAUUAGAAAGCAGACUUCUUCACUAAAUCCUGAAGAAACAAAAAGAUGCUAAAAUCCUUCAUAUCCAGUCGCAUCUCAGACCCCCAGUUUCUCAGCAGCAAGCAUCAGGUGGGAACAAGACAUGAAAUCAACAAUCCGAGUCCAGCCUAAGGCACGGAACAGAGAUUACUUUCGUGGCAUUAAACUGUGACCUACUUGCAAGAUCCUGGACAUGUGGAGAUUAUUAAAUCAGCUCAGCGUUCUUAUGGUAGAUUACAGAUUGCUCUCUGAACCAUCUGUGACUGUGUACAUGGAUGCAUAAGCUGGUGGAUGUCUGUUUAGAAACAAGACACCAAGACUUCUCGUGCCUCAGCUCUUUGACUGACUAUAAGGACAAAGAUUUUCAAGCUUCAGCCAAAGGCAUCAGAAUGAUGAAGACAAUGAAAGAUGCGAAUGGUCUCCGCAUUGCUCAGAAGUUUCCUCUAAAAUUAAAGACUUUUGUUCUGAAUCACUGCCCACCUUGUCAGCUGCAUCGACCACAAGGUAAAAUAGCACACCCAUCUCACAGCAUUCCUUUCCUUCAGAGUUAA